rnacentral:rRNA from 1 species
GAUGAACGCUAGCUACAGGCUUAACACAUGCAAGUCGAGGGGAAACGGCAUUGAGUGCUUGCACUCUUUGUAAGUCGACCGGCGCACGGGUGAGUAACGCGUAUCCAACCUUCCCAUUACUGUGGGAUAACCUGCCGAAAGGCAGACUAAUACCGCAUAGUCUUCGAUGACGGCAUCAGAUUUGAAGUAAAGAUUUAUCGGUAAUGGAUGGGGAUGCGUCUGAUUAGCUUGUUGGCGGGGUAACGGCCCACCAAGGCUACGAUCAGUAGGGGUUCUGAGAGGAAGGUCCCGCACUGGAACUGAGACACGGUCCAAGCGCCUAAGGGAGGCAGCAGAGAGGAAUAGUGGGCAAUGGACGGAAGUCUGAACCAGCCAAGUAGAGUGCAGGAUGACGGCCCUAUGGGUUGUAAACUGCUUUUGUAUGGGGAUAAAGUUAGUGACGUGUCACUAUUUGCAGGUACCAUACGAAUAAGGACCGGCUAAUUCCGUG